UGGUAUCAAAUUCUCCCCAAUUAAAUCUAAAGAAUUUUCAAGUUUUUGUUUUGUAUUAGUUUAAGUAUUUCCUAAGGAAGCUUUAAGUAUAACCACCUGAUUUGGAUUGUAAGGAAAAGGAAAAGGAAUAGAAAUCUACAAAAAAAAAAAAAAAAAAAAAAAAAAAAAGUAAAUUGUGAAUGAAACUGUGAACACUCUCUCUUGCUUUUUCUCAUUUAUUCAUACAUUCACUCAUCCUUCCACCCAUCUAUCCAUCCAUCCCUACAAUAUUUACUGAGCAAUUAUUCUAUAUCUAGGGUUUAGGGAUAGCAGUAAAUGACACUUAGAGAGCUCACCUUCUAUUUGGUGGAGAUUAGAAUCUAGUGGGUUCAAUAUAAUAUUUUCUUUCAAGAGGUAUGGUUGUUCUUCUUAAUUUAUCUAACUUAAAGCCCAGGAA
rnacentral:lncRNA from 1 species